CCUACGGGAGGCAGCAGUCGAGAAUCAUUCACAAUGGGGGAAACCCUGAUGGUGCGACGCCGCGUGGGGGAAUGAAGGUCUUCGGAUUGUAAACCCCUGUCAUGUGGGAGCAAAUUAAAAAGAUAGUACCACAAGAGGAAGAGACGGCUAACUCUGUGCCACCAGCCGCGGUAAUACAGAGGUCUCAAGCGUUGUUCGGAAUCACUGGGCGUAAAGCGUGCGUAGGCUGUUGCGUAAGUCGCGUGUGAAAGGCGCGGGCUCAACCCGCGGACGGCACAUGAUACUGCGAGACUAGAGUGAUGGAGGGGGAACCGGAAUUCUCGGUGUAGCAGUGAAAUGCGUAGAUAUCGAGAGGAACACUCGUGGCGAAGGCGGGUUCCUGGACAGUAACUGACGCUGAGGCACGAAGGCCAGGGGAGCGAAAGGGAUUAGAUACCCUGGUAGUC
rnacentral:rRNA from 1 species